ACCCUGCCCCAGUCCCCGACCCGCAGCCUACCUGGGGUGGGCUCCCAGCGGGAGAUGCUGGGAAGAAGGGAAGAAUCGGGCAAGGCUGCUGGGGAGAACGGGAUUCGGGAAGCAGAUUCCUCCCUCCUCUGCAAUUGUGCAACCUGAGCGCUGCUCUAGCGCAGCAGCAGCGGAAUGGGGAAUCUGACCUAGAAACUGGCAAAAAAAAUUACAAGGAGGAAUGGGAACCACGGGGAGAAAAUUGUUAUUAUUUAGUAUUCUUUGGCAGCAUUAACUAAAGGUAAUUUUGGUAACCCAGACCAUCCUGCACUUCUCAUCUGAGUUAGAUACUCCAGAAGCUGCAGUGGUAAAUUCCUUACCUCAAGGUGGGGUGAUCCACACAGAGCCCACAGGUACCUGCAGUUCCCCAACUGGCUGUGGGACAUUGACCCUGAUAAACUCAUUUCCCAGGAGCUGCAGAGUCCCCCAGGUAGGCCAGCCCCCAAAGAGGGGGCACAGAGGACUUUGGGACCCACUCCCAAAGUGGUUUGACUGCUGACUACCAGAGCCACCUGCUCUGGCGCCUCUGGCCAUCUGCAGUGUUUCCCCAAAGAAGCCAUUUCCUGGGAUUUUGGGGAAAUUUCUCAGUGCUGGGGACACAAGCAGAGACACACACAGAUCAGAGCAAAUUCAGGGCACACUUUCCCAAGAGGUGGAGAAAAAGAAGAUAAGCUCUUGGGCAGCAAAUGUUUUUUUCUCUUCCCAACCCACAGCCAGCCCAACAAAGAGCUCCUGGGCCCCAGCAGGCAGCCAGGGCUACUUUGUGCUCCUGCUCUCCUUUAAUGCAUACUUGGGGAUAUUUAGCACAAAAGCUGCACCUUCUUCACCAGGAACACAAUGCUAAGGGUCCCCGGGUGAGAAGAGGACAAUUAUCUCAAGAGCGUGAUUGCCAGAUUUCUUCUUCAUUAGAAGACACCUAUGCACCAAGGGAAGGAAGACAACCUAAAUUUUGUCAACAUUACCCAAAAAGGAUUUAUCCCAGCCUAUUUAUUUGAAAAACAGAGAAGCUCUUCAGCGUGAAGGUUUCUUAGCAGACAGCAAGGUAACAAAAGCCAAGAAAAGAACAAGACAAAAAGCCACCCUUUUUCCAGGUGAUGCCCAGGGAGCUUUUGGGGAGACAGCAAAUCUCACACACAAUUACGAGGUGCUGAAUUGCAACAGAGAAUCCAGGCCAUCAACAUGCAAGUGAAAACACCUUCCACUAGAGCAGAUUGCUCCAAGCCCAUCCAACCUGGCACUGAAUGCUCACAGGGAUGGGGCAACCACACACACCUUUACCAUUUCUGCCUCCAAACUGCUGGAGCAUCAGCACAGUCUGCAUCAGUUGUGGAUGAAAAAUCCUUAAUUGUUUCAAGAUAAUCCAGUUCAAGUGCCAGUAAUUGCAUCUUCUGCCAUUUCAACCAGUUUAACGUUACAGACAUUGCUCCUAAAUGUGGAGAACCUUUGCUGAUUCUGCAGAAAACAACCCUCAGCCACCUGCAUCUCCUAAUAGCAACAGCCCACAGGGAUUUUUUUAUUUUAUUUUUUUGCCUUUCCUUUCAGGGGGUGAAGACGUCUGCACAUCAGAGCUGUUUUGUCACCUUUAGCACGGUUUGUCAAUCUGUUUAAUCAAGGCCAUCAUGAGCAGAGAAUUAAUUUUUCAAGAUGUAAAAUCAUUUUUUCAUGCAGGGAAUGAGCACCUGGCUGGAGAGGAGCAGGAGAAAGGCUGGGGGGAUGUGGAGAAUACCAGAAAGCAAAGGUUCAAAAAUGCAACUGUCACUCCUGGGAUUAUGGGCACCUGAUUAAUGGCUUGCCAAAGGCUAAUUAGCUAAAUUUGGACCAAAACCACUGGUAAUGGGUGAUAUUAGGACAUUAAUUAAUGAUGCCAAAAAUUUAGCAAUGAUAUAUCCCUUCCUAAGGCAGGGGAGAUAGAACUGAAUAAUCUUUACAGAUUUAUGGUCAACAGAGCAUCAGGGAAACAAGAAAAAACAAUAAAUAAAAAUAUGAAAACA
ensembl:lncRNA